rnacentral:lncRNA from 10 species
GUUCUUGGUCUCGUCACAGAUCACGUCAUCGCACAACACCUUGCCGUUGUCGCAGACGCAGAUCCGGCAGGGCUCGGGUUUCCACACGUCUCGGUCAUGGUACCUGAGGCCGUUCUGUACGCAGGUGAUUGGUGGGACUGGGACAGGCGGAAGAGGGGCGUUGUCAGUAGUGACUGCAACCCCCAGCUUAACCACCUUUCCCCCGGGUCUAAGAGGCACACUUGGAUUUUUCACUUCCCGCCCCUCCCCCCGUUCUUCUUUCCUCAAAUCCUUAAAAGCUCGCCUGCUCCUCAUCAGCGCGGGUGACAGCGCCGAGGCGCCUGGCCAGGGAGGCUGUAACUCUUUCCAGUUCUCAGGAAUUUAAACAAAGCUUUAGUCCGCGGUGGCUUCCAACUCCAACCUCAGCCCAUUGGCGCUGAAGCCAAGUGAAAUAAAAACCACAGGGUGAGAGGGGGAGGGCGGGGGGAGAAUAGGAGGGGCCCCAUCGGGAGGGCAGGCUCGUGGGGAGUGGCUUGCGUGGUAGAGACAGGAGGAGGGCGAGGGAGGAGAGAAGGGAGGUCCAGCCCUCAUCCCGCCCCCAUUCCCUGGGCAGGUGGGGUGGCGGGGGCGGGGCUAGGAGAAUGGGAGCGGCUGAUUGGAAGGGAGGCCCCCCCAAGACUUGAAAUGUACCUCAAAAUUAGGAGACACCCUAACCUCCAGCACCUAGACAUCUUAAAAGCCCGCUCUCGGGGCCAUCCCCAGUCCCCCAAAGCCAGCCAAUGCCUCCAGGUCACUUUUAGCCAAAGAACCAAAAAGUCCGCAAAUAGUCCAGAAGUUAGCUAACCACUCCCACCGCGCUAGCGGCUCCCCAGACGGCCACUAGGUGUCGGGCAACGCUAAGCAAUGGGGCCGGGGCGGGGCCGACCUCACCGGCCCGACUACCUCUUUAAGAGGCUUGGGCUGCCCCAUCCCUGGCUUUACUUUCCAGAUCUAGAGGUGGGGGUCCGCACCCAGCAAUAACCCGGGUCUUCCCGCUCCGGCUCCUGCCCCAGUAAGCGUUGGACCGGGAGACGCAGUGCUCAGCAUCGGUCAGCAGGGGGCGCAAGGACCCCGCCCCGCCGAGUCCGCGCCAAAGUUUCUCAUCCUCCACCCGCCCACGCUCCGCACCCCCUCCGCGGCUGCCCAGCACCCCCACGGCCCCAGCAACACUCUAGCCCGCAGAGAGGGCAAUCUUUCCUUAUGAAUCAUCCCACGGCCUUCCUGAUUGCUUCUACAUCUUGGGCUUCAAAUGCCCCGCUCGGCGCCCCCAUCCCAUCUUCGACGUGCUUUCCUCACUCUGCACCCAGAUCCCCACUUCCCCGGUUGCGCGCUCGGGAUUCUCUCUUGCACCAACUCACGCCGCGCUCCACCCUCACCUCCCGCUCCCGGGGCGCGUUCAACCCCAACCUCGCCCCAGGGUGAGCUCCCUCCUGUCUCAGGGCGCCGAGGAAGAGCCCUCAUCAUCUCCCUUCCAUUCCCGAGUCUCCGGAUCAUCCACGUCUCGUUUUAAGCCGCGGCCCCCGGGACCAAGCGCAAGGCGCGAUAUAGAGUAUCCUUGCACUCCCAAAAGUUUGGGACUUACUGUCUUCGUCUUGGCCCUCGACUUGGCCUUCCUCUUGGCCGUGCGUCAGGAGGGCGGUGGCCGCUAAGAGGAGCAGGAGCCGGAGGUCCACAAAGCUGAACAUGUCUAGACCCUAGACAUGUAGACUCUUUGUGGCUGGGGAGGGGGUUAGCGUCCGCUCAUGCGUGGCCUCACACUCCGCGUGCCUCCUGCUCCGACCCCGAGGAGAAACUCCCGUCUGCUCCGACGACUGGCCCG